GCCUAACAAUGCUUCCUCUGGCACUAAAAAUUAGAAAAUACAGAGAAGAUUAGCAUGGUCCCCACACAAGAAUGACACAAAAAUUUGUGAAAUGUUCCAUAUUUUU